UACGUAGGGUGCAAGCGUUAAUCGGAAUUACUGGGCGUAAAGCGUGCGCAGGCGGUUGUGCAAGACAGGUGUGAAAUCCCCGGGCUUAACCUGGGAACUGCACUUGUGACUGCACGACUGGAGUACGGCAGAGGGGGAUGGAAUUCCGCGUGUAGCAGUGAAAUGCGUAGAUAUGCGGAGGAACACCGAUGGCGAAGGCAGUCCCCUGGGCCUGUACUGACGCUCAUGCACGAAAGCGUGGGGAGCAAACAGG
rnacentral:rRNA from 1 species